rnacentral:miRNA from 1 species
GCCUAGUUCUGUGCUCUCCGCC